GCCGGCGUAGCUCAGGGGUAGAGCAACUGAUUUGUAAUCAGUUUGUCGGGGGUUCAAAUCCCUCCGUCGGCU
rnacentral:tRNA from 1 species